rnacentral:rRNA from 1 species
GAUGAACGCUGGCGGCGUGCCUAAUACAUGCAAGUCGAGCGAACAGAUAAGGAGCUUGCUCCUUUGACGUUAGCGGCGGACGGGUGAGUAACACGUGGGUAACCUACCUAUAAGACUGGGAUAACUUCGGGAAACCGGAGCUAAUACCGGAUAACAUUUGGAACCGCAUGGUUCUAAAGUGAAAGAUGGUUUUGCUAUCACUUAUAGAUGGACCCGCGCCGUAUUAGCUAGUUGGUAAGGUAACGGCUUACCAAGGCGACGAUACGUAGCCGACCUGAGAGGGUGAUCGGCCACACUGGAACUGAGACACGGUCCAGACUCCUACGGGAGGCAGCAGUAGGGAAUCUUCCGCAAUGGGCGAAAGCCUGACGGAGCAACGCCGCGUGAGUGAUGAAGGGUUUCGGCUCGUAAAACUCUGUUAUUAGGGAAGAACAAAUGUGUAAGUAACUAUGCACGUCUUGACGGUACCUAAUCAGAAAGCCACGGCUAACUACGUG